rnacentral:rRNA from 1 species
CAAUAGCGUAUAUUAAAGUUGUUGCAGUUAAAAAGCUCGUAGUUGGACUUCUGCGGGUGGCGGCCGGUCGUGCUCGAAACGGGCGUGAACUUGGCGUGCUGCCCGCAUCUUUGGGGAGAUUGUGCGUGGCAUUAAGUUGUCGUGCAUGGGAUUCUCAUCAUUUACUGUGAAAAAAUUAGAGUGUUUAAAGCAGGCCUUUGCCUUGAAUACAUUAGCAUGGAAUAAUAAGAUAGGACCGUUGUCUAUUUUGUUGGUUUACAGAUGUCGGUAAUGAUUAAUAGGGAUAGUUGGGGGUAUUCGUAUUCAGUUGUCAGAGGUGAAAUUCUUGGAUUUUCGGAAGACGAACGACUGCGAAAGCAUUUACCAAGGAUGUUUUCAUUAA